AUAAUGGGUCAGCGACUUAUAUUCUGUAGCAAGGUUAACCGAAUAGGGGAGCCGAAGGGAAACCGAGUCUUAACUGGGCGUUAAGUUGCAGGGUAUAGACCCGAAACCCGGUGAUCUAGCCAUGGGCAGGUUGAAGGUUGGGUAACACUAACUGGAGGACCGAACCGACUAAUGUUGAAAAAUUAGCGGAUGACUUGUGGCUGGGGGUGAAAGGCCAAUCAAACCGGGAGAUAGCUGGUUCUCCCCGAAAGCUAUUUAGGUAGCGCCUCGUGAAUUCAUCUCCGGGGGUAGAGCACUGUUUCGGCAAGGGGGUCAUCCCGACUUACCAACCCGAUGCAAACUGCGAAUACCGGAGAAUGUUAUCACGGGAGACACACGGCGGGUGCUAACGUCCGUCGUGAAGAGGGAAACAACCCAGACCGCCAGCUAAGGUCCCAAAGUCAUGGUUAAGUGGGAAACGAUGUGGGAAGGCCCAGACAGCCAGGAUGUUGGCUUAGAAGCAGCCAUCAUUUAAAGAAAGCGUAAUAGCUCACUGGUCGAGUCGGCCUGCGCGGAAGAUGUAACGGGGCUAAACCAUGCACCGAAGCUGCGGCAGCGACGCUGAUGCGUUGUUGGGUAGGGGAGCGUUCUGUAAGCCUGUGAAGGUGUGCUGUGAGGUAUGCUGGAGGUAUCAGAAGUGCGAAUGCUGACAUAAGUAACGAUAAAGCGGGUGAAAAGCCCGCUCGCCGGAAGACCAAGGGUUCCUGUCCAACGUUAAUCGGGGCAGGGUGAGUCGACCCCUAAGGCGAGGCCGAAAGGCGUAGUCGAUGGGAAACAGGUUAAUAUUCCUGUACUUGGUGUUACUGCGAAGGGGGGACGGAGAAGGCUAUGUUGGCCGGGCGACGGUUGUCCCGGUUUAAGCGUGUAGGCUGGUUUUCCAGGCAAAUCCGGAAAAUCAAGGCUGAGGCGUGAUGACGAGGCACUACGGUGCUGAAGCAACAAAUGCCCUGCUUCCAGGAAAAGCCUCUAAGCAUCAGGUAACAUCAAAUCGUACCCCAAACCGACACAGGUGGUCAGGUAGAGAAUACCAAGGCGCUUGAGAGAACUCGGGUGAAGGAACUAGGCAAAAUGGUGCCGUAACUUCGGGAGAAGG
rnacentral:rRNA from 1 species